AAGAUCAUACGUUUAGGGAUUUUUUCUAAAGUUCGGUCCUGCCGAGACGUCGAGUUAAUCUGGACGGCCCGAAAACAACGAUGAUGAGAUUCAGUCUCUUCUUCUGAGGGUGAAGUUGGCCACGAAACAGUCACUUGCUCGUGUGACGUUUUAUUGGUCAUUGAGGAUCGUUCCUCUCUUCCAUUAGUGAGGAAAUUGGAGGAAGAAGAGUCAAUCCGAGAGGU
rfam:Biomphalaria glabrata isolate BB02 linkage group LG17 unlocalized genomic scaffold LG17_random_Scaffold264, whole genome shotgun sequence.